rnacentral:lncRNA from 1 species
CGGGGCGGCAAAACGUCCGCCCGGGCCCGAGGCGGGCGGAGGCAGCUGUGGUUACGUGCGGGGGGCCGGUGACGCAGUCGCGGGGCGCUGGGACGCGGCUUGCGGAGCCGGCCGGCGAGCGCAGGCCCCAGGCUCGGGCGCGGCGGCGGGACAGCACCUACCUUCCCGGCUUCGGGUCCGGGAGUGCGGGGCGCGGAGCCGCCGGAGCGCUGCCUCCCUCCUUCCUCCUCCCCUCGCCCCCGCCCCGCGGCGCGACACACAAUACUCGCCGGAAGCGGAAGCCGCGCCGAGGCUCGUGUCAGUGGAAGCUGGGGUGUCGGCGGGCGGCCGCGGCCGGGUCUAGUGGUGCCUGCGGAAGAAGGAGGAGGAGGGCUGGCGAUGAGAAGCAGCAGGGGGAAUCAAGGGCAAGAAGGGACCCAGAGGGGCAGGUGGCUGAGAUGCUGGCGUCCAGGUGACCCGAGGAAUCCUCUGGAGAUACAGGCCCGCGCAUGCGCGUGCUCGAGCGCUGAAGCCCAUUGCCCGCAGGGCGCUGGACUGGCGCCCCGGCCGGCGAGGCUGUCUAGUCCAGGCUCCAGGCCCCGGCUCUGGCCAGGCGCCGCCGCCUCCCGGUGCAGCUGAAAGUCGACGAAGAGGGCGGGGCGGGGGCGGCUUGUGGACUUCCACACUUUUCCUCUCUUCGGGCCAGUCUGGGGAGAGGGUGGCUAGCUGUGGCGGCGGCCAAUUACGUGGCGGACCUGCGGGGCUAAGCUGGCACGUCACUUCCGACUAGUGGAGUUUUUAGCCUUUUAACAUUCAAGGAUUAGAGCUCCCUCUUUGCCCACUAGCAGGGCAUUAGCUGGUGCUGAAGACAGUGGCUGCUUGGCGAGCCUGGAUCUCCAAGUGACCCCCUCAGCAACUCCUGAUGAACAGGACUGAAGCCAAUAUUAAAGCAAGUCAACCAAAGGUUCUCUGGUGUAGACAAGACAGCAAAAGGACAGACUACCUUGUGGAACCUAGCAUUGUUCUCCUUCUGCAGCACUAAGUAACAUUUGUUCUCCGUUAAGAUCUUUGCAAACCACACACAAGAAUUGCUGGUCAUCCUGCCAAUAGAUGCUGCUCACAGAACCAAAUUUCCUGUGCUGAAUUGUCACUCAUGGGCUUGAGAGUAGGAGACUGGAGACCAAGGUGGCUAGAAUCCAGUUGGGCCUGAUGUCUCCCUGUUGAAAGGGCUCCUUGUGGAAUGAAUAGCACAUGGCUCCUGUGGUGGAUCUGAUAGUGGCAUAGCACCAAGUGAUGCAGGCCUGCCAGGGGCCACAGACACAGAAGAUGCUCCCGGGGUCCCCCAUGUACUCCAGACACACUGCAGGCCACCUCUCCCAGCAGGUUGCCAGUCAUGGGCCCCAUCAUCAUGACUUCUGUCCAAGGUACUGUGUGCAGAAAUGUGAUUGAGAUUCAAGUCAGGGCCUCUCUGCCCUUUUCCCUCCAGAAACAAAACCAAGAUAAUUUAUCCUGAACACGGUGAAAAAAGGAAGGGAGGGAGGAGAAAAAGUCCGGGUCUCACCUGGGAUUCUCUGUCUCCUGCAACAUGAAGGAUUUAGCCUGGGAGGAGGUGGUGAGAACUCUGGGAGAGAAAAAAGAAGGAAAGAAUAGUUUUACCCAUGCUGAAGUUAAUUUAAACCUUCACCUAGAGAAGCAAAAAAAAAAAACCCACACUUUCCCAUUUUGUGCCUCCCUUCCUAGAGUUUUAGCCAAAGGUUUAGCUAAGUAAUUGGUUUUACCAGCGCACUCACUCCUCCUAUCCCAAGUCUGUUUGACUCCCUCCCCAUCAUCCUCCUCACCUCUUUUCAGGCAGGGUGGGGAUAGCAGCAGGAGGAGAUUUUGGGAGCCUGGCAACUCCUGCAAGGACCGCAGGACAGCCCCUCUGUGGGGAUGCGUGGUGCCCCAUCUGCCGCCCUUCUGAAGAAUGCACUGCCUUCACUUUUUACUGUGUUAGAGUCCAUCCAGACUGUUCUAUCCAAAAAAGUUUCUUUUUCCCCCACAGGCAAUCAGGAAAUGAUUCCUUUCCCGACUGCUUCUGUCUAGUGCCUGGGAAUCUUGAGUCAAUCCCUCAGUAAGUCAGUGACUAGGGAAAUCCCUCUCUGAGCCUCCCAGUUCAUGUUGCUUAGGGAACCUGAUAUUUUCGUGAAACCUGCCUACACAUGGGCAGCCCAACAGCAGAACAAAUGGUGGUGACCAAAGUGAACAAAGAAGUAUAGUUGUGCCAGCUUCGUAGUUGCCCAUGUGGACAAGUCAGCAGGAUCAGGACACGAGGAAGAGUAAAUGUGAGACAGUCAAUGUGACUUCUGCGAUAAACAGAUUUUUAAACCCCGAAAUUUUGCAAAAUUUUGGUGAAACCUGAACUUUCUUCGUUGCAUAUACUGGCACUAUCUGUACCAUCAUACAACUGUCUCACAUUAAAGCUAUUUUUCUUGGGCACUGAUGAGUAAGGUUGGUAUAAGUUCCUCAGAUCAACAAAAACCCAUUUUCCUGUAAGUCUUACAUUUAGUAUUUAAGGAACUAAAACUUAAAUACAUUUUGUGAAAUGGUUGACACUUCACUGAUAAUGAUUUAUUGCUUGGAUUAAUAAAUUUUCCAAAAGUUGUCUUAUGUAGAAUAUGGUUUGCAACCAGCAGAACCAUUAAUCUAUACUGCAAUGAUAUGCACUAUGUAUAAUUGUUUAAAAGCCUCUACUUAAUGAUGUAAAAUGCUCUAUUUAAUUACACAUUUGGGUAAACUGUAUACUAACAUCUGAUGGCAUUUUUCCACUGUUUGUUGCUUUUUUCAAAUACUUUAUUGUACAAAGCUGUUCUUAAUAUUUUUCAAGUUUUUUUCUUUGAAUUUUGCUAAUGUUUUCCUUGAAUUAUGAGCACUGACAGAAUGUGCUUAGCACUUUUGGCUAUUCACACAGCUUUUGAGCAUGAUUUGCAUCCAAUAUUUACAUUGCUAGCAAUAAUAAGCCAUCUGUGAGUUUUGUCAAAAGUUAUUGGGGAUUUUUUAAAUUUUAGAAAUGCAAAUUAUUGUUUCUUUGAACUAACUCUUAUGCAGUUGCAAAGGCAUUUCCAGUUGUUAUAGUUUGUGUACAAUAUCAGGUGUUCCAGAUUAUGAUUCAUUAUUAAUAUCAUUGCUUCCUUGUUCCCUCUGAGGUCCAGAAGAUUCAUGUUUACAAUAUUUAGAAACAAUGUUAAAAAGGUAUCCAAAGUUUGUCACUUUAUUAUUAGUUUGUUCUUAAUAUUCUGUUUAAGUUUUUGAAUUCAUAGAUAUCAAAACGCUGCACAAUUAUGAUUUCCACAGGAAUAACAACACACUAACAAUAAGAACCAAAAACAGCAAAUAGGCUGCCUACAAGUUUUGACAAUAUUAGGAUAAUGAUAAUGACAGUUUUUCUAAAUCUCACAGUAAAGAAUGCAGCAACCCAGCAACACUGCUACCUGUGGCCUCAGGCUGCAGUGUCAGCUCUUCCCUGGGUCUCCAGCCUGCCAGUCUAACCUGAAAAUUAUGUACUUGCCAGCCCCCACAGUCACGUGAGUGAACUGGCCCAGGCUGGUCACCAGGGUCAGUUUCUCUGUGUGUCAUUAAUUCAUUCAGUCUUCAGCAGUCUCUUUGGAGCUGAGAUGUACCUACCAUCUGCCUUUUGGGUGCUUAGGGUGGAGAACCAGAAAAGUAUAACCUAGUGUGUAUCCUCAAAGAGCUAACAAUAUGGGGUGGUACCUAUAGGUCUGGAAACACUUUACUGACUCUGUGAGGCAUACCAGGAGACGUCAGAGAACAGUCCCUCCUCAAAUGCCAAAUGAGAUGCAGAAGAAAUAGUUUGCUCAAGUUCAUGGGCCAGAUAUCCCAGUGGUCAGGGAGUUUCAUGAAUGAGAUGGAACUUUGCAUGGAACCCGAGGGAUGUGUAUGAUUUGAGUAGAUGAAGAAUAUGAGACUUUCCAAGCAGCUAGAAGUUAGGGAGCAGCAAGAUGUGUGGUGGGAUUGAGCACAGUUGGUUCAGAGGAUAGACUGCAGUUUUAAUAAUUUGUAGUAAAUAUCUCCCAACUGUUUGGCACUAUUGGAGCAAGUUCUUGAAUGCCAAAUGAAGGCAUAAAUCAGUAAGAGGCAUAAUAAAAGGCUGAGCAGUGCUUGGCUUUUUACGAACUGAUCCUGAUAGGAGCAGCUGUUCAACAAAGUUGCCAGGUCACCGUUACAUAGUCCCUGCCUUCUAGGGGCUCACUGCCUACUGGGAGAGACAGUCUGAAAGUUGGUGGAGCAUGUAACUGUUGGAUGAGGAGUUUGAGCCUGUGGACUGUGGGACCCCCGAGGAGGGUGUGGCUACUCUAGGCAGAACAAUCCCACAGUUUAUUUAUAUUUAACCUUGAAAUUCAUUAGAGGAUUUUUCAGCAGAGGUUUGGUACUUGUUAAUGUUAAGGUUUGCAUUCUCUAGAACCUCAAGGAAAGCUGUACCGUGCAUAAUGUACCCUCUUAUGUUAAUGUUGUGUACUGUGAUCCUGUUUCAGGGACUUGCACUUAGGAAUCUGUUACAGUGAGCACAGAAGCAGACCUGUGGGCUCAUAGUCUUCACCCCCCACCCAUAUAUACAAGAUGAACAGAGUGGAGGUUAAACAACUUGACUAAACAACACAGUUCAUGGUAAAGCCCAAGACUGUACCUGCCCAUCCACUGCCUUUUCCAUGUAUCCUGGAACUGAGCAUAGACCUCUUCCCAGGCAGAGCUGACAGCAAGUAAAGGAGAUCAUAAUCAGGGGACCAAACAACUUUGUCUAAAGUGUGAAUGUCACCUAAGGAGAAGCUGUGAGAUCAGAAGGGUGGGGCAGAGGAGCAGACACCAUGAGAGAGAGUCCUUGGGGGUACAUCUGCCAGACUGACACUGUCUGGCCUGGGCAGUGGAGGGGCUAGCAGGAACCACAGGUACUGGUGGUGUGGCUACUACCGUUACAACUGCCUGUGCUUGGACAUGGACCCUCUGCAAUAUGCGGCAGUUUCAUUCAUUGCCCCCUACAUUCUACACCAAGUAGAAAUGGAAGGCAAUUGGAUACUUCACAGACAAGAUCUAAGUGGAGAAGGAAUGCGUCCUGUGGCUGCAGAGAUCCUUGGAGCUUGGAGGGGAGAGCUUGAGCCCCACUGAUGAUGACCUCCCACAGCUCGCCAACUCAGCCCUCCCUAAGUCCCCAUCGGGGGCCAAUUCUCACUCUGGGGUUGGGGGGACUCCACCAUAGCUCAUCCAUCAUAGGGAUGUUGGUAUCUACUGUGGGUUGGGUAGGGCCGAUGUGCUGAGGAUGGCUCCCCCACAAGCAAGAGAUGUGGAUUUGGGGAGCUUCCCAUCUUGUGUUGAAGGAACAUAACUCAGAAUAAUAAGAGCCAACUAUAACAAACCCACAGCCAACAUCAUACUGAAUGGGCAAAAGCUGCAGGCAUUCCCCUUGAAAAGUGGCACAGGAUAAGGAAGCCCUUUCUCACCACUCCUAUUCAAUAUAGUGUUGAAAGUCCUGAUCACAGCAGUCAGGCAACAGAAAUAAUAAAGGGCAUCCAAAUAGGAAGAGAGGAAGUCAAACUAUCCUUGUUUGCAGACAGUAUGAUUCUAUAUCUAGAAAACCCCAUAGCCUCAGCCCAAAAGGUCCUUCAUCUGAUAAUUUCAGCAAAGUUUCAGGAGACAAAAUCAGUGUACAAAAAUCACUAACAUUCCUAUACACAGUCGCCAAGCCAAGAGCCAAAUCAGGAGCACAAUCCCAUUCAUAAUUGCCACAAAAAAGAAUAAAAUACCCAGGAAUGCAGCUAACCAAGGAAGUAAAGGAUCUCUACAAUGAGAAUCACAAACGCUGCUCAAAGAAAUCAGAGAUGACACAAACAAAUGGAAAAACUUUCCAUGCUCAUGGCUAGGAAGAAUCAAUAUCAUUAAAGUGGCCAUACUACCCAAAGCAAUUUAUAGAUUCAAUGCUAUUCCUAUCAAACUAUCAAUUACAUUUUUCACAGAACUAGAAAAAACUUAAAAUUCAUAUGGAACCAAAAAGCCUGAGUAGUCAAGGCAAUCCUAAACAAAAAGAACAAAGGUGGAGGCAUCACAUUACCUAACUUCAAACUACAGGGCUACCAUGACCAAAACAGCAUGGUACUGGUACAAAAGCAGACACACAGACCAGUGGGACAGAAUAGAGAGCCCAAAAAUAAGGCCACAAACCUACAGCCAUCUGAUCUUCAACAAAGUUGACAAAAACAAGCAAUGGGGAAAGGUCUCCCUAUUCAAUAAAUGGUGCUGGGAUAACUGGCUGGCCAUAUGCAGAAGAUCGUAACUGGACCCCUUUUACUAUGUACAAAAAUUAAGAUGGUUUAAAGAGUUAAAACCCAAAAUUAUAAAAAUCCUGAAGAUAACUUAGGCAAUACCAUUCUGGACAUAGGAACUGGCAAAUAUUUCAUGAUGAAGACACCAAAAGCAAUUGUAACAAAAGCAAAAAUGGACAAAUUGGAUUUAAGAGCUUUUUCAUAGCAAAAUAAACAACAGGGCAGACAAUCUACCAAAUGACAGAAAAUUUUUGCAAACUAUGCAUCUGACAAGGGGCUAAUAUCUAGCAUCUAUAAGGAAUUUAAACACAGUUACAGG